rnacentral:misc_RNA from 1 species
CCUCCUUUCUAAGGAAAUCGAAAAUAUCAAAACAAUUAUUUUCGAUUUAAAAAAAACCGGUAAUGUGACCGUCCUCAUUUCUCUUCUUUUAAUGUCUCUGAGUAAAAACAAUGUUAAGGGGCCGGUAGCUCAGGUGGUUAGAGCGCACCCCUGAUAAGGGUGAGGUCGGAAGUUCGAGUCUUCCUCGGCCCACCAAAAGUUUCGGGGGAUUAGCUCAGCUGGGAGAGCGCCUGAUUUGCAUUCAGGAGGUCAGCGGUUCGAUCCCGCUAUCCUCCACCAAAAUUUGAGACAUUUAGCUUUUUUAAAUUGUGAAUAUUAUUAAUAUUAUCAAUAUCUAUAUCCGAUUGUUUUCAGAUGUUUUUUUGAAAACAAUCAAAACAAAAAUUUGAAUUUUACACAGAAAGUUUUUUUCUGUGCAUAAAUCAAGCGUUUAAGGGCGAUUGGCGGAUGCCUUGGCACUGUAAGACGAUAAAGGACGUGGUAUACUGCGAUAAGUUCGGGGAGUUGUAUGCAAGCUUUGA